UACGUAGGUGGCAAGCGUUGUCCGGAUUUACUGGGCGUAAAGAGCGCGCAGGCGGUCGCUCAAGUCGCGUGUGAAAGCCCCCGGCUCAACUGGGGAGGGUCACGCGAUACUGAUCGACUGGAAGGCAGGAGAGGGUAGUGGAAUUCCCGGUGUAGUGGUGAAAUGCGUAGAUAUCGGGAGGAAUACCAGUGGCGAAGGCGACUACCUGGCCUGUUUCUUGACGCUGAGGCGCGAAAGCUAGGGGAGCAAACGGGG
rnacentral:rRNA from 1 species